rnacentral:rRNA from 1 species
GUGAGGAAUAUUGCGCAAUGGACGAAAGUCUGACGCAGCCAUGCCGCGUGAAGGAUUGACGGCCCUAUGGGUUGUAAACUUCUUUUGUAUAGGAAUAAACCCUCGUUCGUGAACGAGGCUGAAGGUACUAUAAGAAUAAGCACCGGCUAACUCCGUGCCAGCAGCCGCGGUAAUACGGAGGGUGCAAGCGUUAUCCGGAUUUAUUGGGUUUAAAGGGUCCGUAGGCGGAUCGUUAAGUCAGUGGUGAAAUCCUACCGAUCAACGGUAGAACUGCCAUUGAUACUGGCGAUCUUGAGUAUGUAUGAAGUUGGCGGAAUGUGUGGUGUAGCGGUGAAAUGCUUAGAUAUCACACAGAACACCGAUUGCGAAGGCAGUUGACUAAUACACAACUGACGCUGAGGGACGAAAGUGUGGGGAUCAAACAGGAUUAGAAACCCCAGUAGUCC